GGGGCGGCCGGGAUCCAGGUGGCGCCUGGUCCUGAGUGACCUGGGCGAGGCGCGGGCCCGGAGGGAGGCCGCACGCAGGGUGCAUGCAAAUGGUCCUGUGCGUCUCCCGGCCCCCGUCGGCCAGGGCGCGCUCCUGCACACAGACCAAGCUGGCGAAGCCGCCACCUCCUGAGACACUGGCAUCCCAUUUGUGGAAGAUGGCCUGAGUGUUUGGACCCCCGCUGCCCACAUGGGAGACCCAGCCUGGUUCAGCCUUGGCCUGUGUGGCCAUCUGGAUGGAAGAUCUCUGUCUCUCUUCCACUCUCUGUAACUGACUUUCAAAUAAAUAAAUAAAUAAAUAAAUAAAUAUGUUUUCCAAGUUGUAUGUGUUUGAGAGAGUGUAUUCCCACCCACUGGCUCACUCUCCAGAUGCCAGCCUCUGCCAGAGCCGAGGCUGAAUUGAAGACUGGGCACACAGUCCAGACCUCCAAAAUGGGUCCUCAGGGACCCCACUACUUGAGCCCUCGCUGCUGCUUCCCAGGCUCUGCAUUAGCAAGAAGCUGGAGUAGGAGCCAGAGCCAGGAAUCUAAUCCAGGUACUCUGAUGUGAGAGGCAGGCCUCCUAACCGGCAUCCUCUCUGCUGGGUUUUGCUCCGCGACCCAGUGCUACAAAGCUGCUUUUUGGGACCAGAAGUGGUGCAGUCUGUUAAGUGGCCACUUGUGUUGCGGGCAUCCCAUAGGAGUGCUGGUUCCAGUCCUGGCUGCUCCAGCUUUCCAUCCAGCUCCUUGCUUAUGUGCCUGGGAAAGCAGCAGAGGAUGGCACAAGUGCUCGGGCCCGUGUACCCACGUGGGAGACCAGAAUGGAGUUCUGGGUUCCUGGCUUUGGACUGGCCCAGCCCUGGCUAGUGCAGCCAUUUGGAGAGUCAACCAGCAGAUGGAAGAUCUCUGUUUCUCCCACUCUCUCUCUCUGUAACUCUGCCUUUCAAAUAAAUAAGUUUUUUUUUUUUUAAGGAAAUCUGCUUUUUUCCUUUUUUAGUCAAUAUUUUCCAGCCAGUGUAUUUUAUAAAACUCAAAAAAACAAGAGUACAACAAUAGCAGCUCUCACCGGAUUGCCCUGCAUCCCGACAACGUCACAGGUGCUGUUUGUGCCCUCUCUAACCUUUCUCAGGCAGCCUCAGCAUUGGUAUUGAGGCUGCAGAGAGCUGCCAGUCACUGGCCUCACAGAGUUGGCUCUCAUUGGGGAUAGGCAGUACAGGUAACAGGGGCCAUAGGGAGGUUCAUACUGGGCUCCACAGAAGCAGAUGUUACCACAAAGAAGGUGCUGGAAGUGGAAAUAUAAAUUGAUUUUAAAAUGUAAGAACUGUGUCCUUGGGAUUGGCAUGGUGGGUAAAGCCACUGCCUGCAGUGCUGGCAUCCCAUAUGGGCACCAGUUCGAGUCCUGGCUGCUCCAUUUCCGAUCCAGCUCCCUGCUGAUGGCCUGGGAAAAGCUGUGGAAGAUGGUGCAAGUGCUUGGGCCCCGUACCUGUGUGGGAGACCUGGAAGAAGCUCCUGGCUCCAGCUUCAGCCUGGCCCAGUGCUGGCCAUUGUGGCCCUCUAGGGAGUGAAUGAACCAGCAGAUGGAAGAUCUCUCUCUCUCUUUCACUCUCGCUCUCCCUCCCUUCCUGUCAAUAACUCUGUCUUUCAAAUAAAUGAAUAAAUCUUUAAAAAAUAAUAAUAACCUGCAUCCUUACUUGAAGUUUAAUAUGUGAAUUUUUUUUUUAUAAAAAAGAUUAAUUUAUUUGAAAGGCAGAGUUAGAGAGGGUGAGAGAAAAAGAGAGAUCGUCCACCCGGUAGUUGCAACAGCCAGGACUGGACCAGGAUGAAGCCAGGAGCCUGGAACUCCAUUCACGUGUCCCAUGUGAGUUCAGGGGCCCAAAUACUUGAGCCAUCUGUCCCUGCUUUCAUAGGCACAUUAGCAGGGAGCUGGAUCAGAAGUGGAGCCUCUGGGACUCGAACCGGAGUCCACUUGGGACGCAGCAUUGCAGAUGGUGACUUAUCCUGUGCCACAAGCCUGGCCCCUGGAUUUGUUUCCUAAUAAAUCUCUGAAUUCUUUUGGGGCAGGGGUUAUUUAUUCUCCCUUGUAUCAUCUGUAUUUUUUCAUAUUCUGCAUUCGUGUUUUGUCAUUGUAUGUGGGGGGUUAGGGAGCAGGCGGUUGGGUCCCAGGCCCCCAGGCCUCUCUCUUGGCUUCCCCACCCAAGCUGAGAAGUCCACAGGUGAGCAGGAAAGCUGGCUGUGGUCUUCUGUGGCCCCUGCUGCUUUGCAGGGAUGCAGGACAAUGUUUUUGUGUUUCUGUCUUCAAGGAACAAUUAUAAAAUACCUUGGUCUGGGGGCCGGUGUUGUGCAGUUGGUUAAGCUGCUGCUUACAACACAGGGACCCCUUAUUGGGAUGAUGGUUUGAGUCCCAGCUGCUCCAUUUCUGAAACAGCCCUCUGCUAUGGCCUGGGAAAGCAGUGGAAGAUGACCCAAGUCCUUGGGCCCUGCACCAGCAUGGGAGACCUGGAAGAAGCUCCUGGCUCCUGGCUUUGGAUCCACAAAGCUCCAGCCAUUGCAGCCAUUUGGGGAGUGAAUCAGCAGAUAAAGGAUCUCUCUCUCUCUUUCUCUCUCCGUCUCUCUCUGCCUCUGCCUCUCUGUAACUCUGCCUUUCAAAUAAAGAAAUAAAUAUUUUUAAAUUUUUAAA